rnacentral:rRNA from 1 species
AACUGAGAAUAAUACCUUAUAUGAAGAGAGAUCUGGAACGCCUUUCUUCUCAAAGCUUCGGCGCCUAAGGAUGGGACUGCGGCUGAUUAGGCUGUUGGUGAUGUAAUGGACCACCAAACCUUUGAUCAGUACGGGCCAUGAGAGUGGUAGCCCGGAGAAGGAGACUGAGACAAGGCUCCUAGCCCUACGGGGUGCAGCAGUUACGGAAACUUUACAAUGCACGAAAGUGUGAUAAGGGGAUUCUAAGUGCCAUAGCUUAUGGUUAUGGCUGUGAAGAAGUGUAAAAUACUUUUUAAGAAAGGGGUGGGCAAUAUCGGUGCCAGCAGCCGCGGUAAUACCGGAGCCCCGAGUGGUGACCGUAUAUUUGGCCUAAAGCGUCUGUAGCCGGAUUAUUAAGUUCUCGGUGAAAUUGUUAGGCUUAACCUAACGAAUGGCCUUGAAUACUGGUAAUCUAGGGAUCGGGAGAGGCCAAGAGUAUGCCUAGGGGAGGGGUAAAAUCCAUUAAUCCUAGGCGGACUACCAAUGGCGAAGGCACUUGGCUAGAACGAGUCCGACGGUGAGAGACGAAAGCUAGGGGAGCAAACAGGAUUAGAUACCCUGGUAGUCCUAGCUGUAAACGCUGCCCGUUGGGUGUCGCAAAUUCUUCGAGUUUUUGCGGUGCCGUAGCGAAAGCAAUAAACGGGCCGCCUGGGGAGUACGGUCGCAAGGCUGAAACUUAA